CACCACAAAUGAUCUUUUUUUCAUACCUUAGGUGCCGAACUUUACGAAUAAAUCUUUGUUCUUCAAUUUGAAUCUUUUCUUCAAAAACCUCCGCGAUCAACUCUUCAAGACUCCAUUCAACAUUAUGAAAUUCGCCAACCUAUAAAAUCCUUAACAAUCUCCCCCUUUGGCGAUUUCGUGACAAAAUAUACUACAAUGCUCGUACACAACUCAGAAACAAUAAAAAGAAGAUCAUCGCAAUCACCAAACGAUAAUCUCCUGCAUGAUCGAUCCAAUAAACGAAAAAUAUGCAGUCUGCGGACUGCACUG
rnacentral:lncRNA from 1 species